rnacentral:rRNA from 1 species
AUGAACGCUGGCGGCGUGCUUAACCCAUGCAAGUCGAACGGAAAGGCUCCUGCUUGCAGGGGUACUCGAGUGGCGAACGGGUGAGUAACACGUGGGUGAUCUGCCCUGCACUUCGGGAUAAGCCUGGGAAACUGGGUCUAAUACCGGAUAGGACGAUGGUUUGGAUGCCAUUGUGGAAAGUUUUUCGGUGUGGGAUGAGCUCGCGGCCUAUCAGCUUGUUGGUGGGGUAAUGGCCUACCAAGGCGUCGACGGGUAGCCGGCCUGAGAGGGUGUACGGCCACAUUGGGACUGAGAUACGGCCCAGACUCCUACGGGAGGCAGCAGUGGGGAAUAUUGCACAAUGGGCGCAAGCCUGAUGCAGCGACGCCGCGUGGGGGAUGACGGCCUUCGGGUUGUAAACUCCUUUCGCUAGGGACGAAGCGCAAGUGACGGUACCUGGAGAAGAAGCACCGGCUAACUACGUG